CUCGGUGUGGUGAAAUGGUAUCAUUCGUGCUUUGGGAGCAUGAGGCGCAAGUUCGAUUCUUGCCACCGAGACCA
rnacentral:tRNA from 1 species